rnacentral:rRNA from 1 species
AUCCUGGCUCAGGAUGAACGCUAGCGGCAGGCUUAACACAUGCAAGUCGAGGGGCAUCGGGAGUAGCAAUACUUGCCGGCGACCGGCGCAAGGGUGCGUAACGCGUGAGCAACAUGCCCGUAUCAGGGGGAUAAUCCAUGGAAACGUGGUCUAAUACCCCAUAGUAAUUAUGUAAGGCAUCUUAUAUAAUUUAAAGCUUUGGUGGAUACGGAUUGGCUCGCGUGACAUUAGCUGGAUGGUAAGGUAACGGCUUACCAUGGCUACGAUGUCUAGGGGUUCUGAGAGGAAGGUCCCCCACACUGGAACUGAGACACGGUCCAGACUCCUACGGGAGGCAGCAGUGAGGAAUAUUGGCAAUGGAUGGAAAUCUGAUCCAGCCAUGCCGCGUGCAAGGAAGACGGCCCUAUGGGUUGUAAACUGCUUUUGUAUGGGAGCAAUAAGGGCUACGUGUAGUCCGAUGAGAGUACCAUACGAAUAAGCACCGGCUAACUCCGUGCCAGCCGCAGC